UGGGGAAUAUUGCACAAUGGGCGAAAGCCUGAUGCAGCGACGCCGCGUGAGGGAUGACGGCCUUCGGUUUGUAAACCUCUUUCAGUAGGGACGAAGCGCAAGUGACGGUACCUGCAGAAGAAGCACCGGCUAACUACGUGCCAGCAGCCGCGGUAAUACGUAGGGUGCGAGCGUUGUCCGGAAUUACUGGGCGUAAAGAGCUCGUAGGCGGUUUGUCACGUCGUCUGUGAAAUCCUAGGGCUUAACCCUGGACGUGCAGGCGAUACGGGCUGACUUGAGUACUACAGGGGAGACUGGAAUUUCUGGUGUAGCGGUGGAAUGCACAGAUAUCAGGAAGAACACCGAUGGCGAAGGCAGGUCUCUGGGUAGUAACUGACGCUGAGGAGCGAAAGCAUGGGUAGCGAACAGG
rnacentral:rRNA from 1 species